rnacentral:rRNA from 1 species
UACGGGGGGGGCAAGCGUUGUUCGGAAUUACUGGGCGUAAAGGGCCCGUAGGUGGCCAACUAAGUCAGACGUGAAAUCCCUCAGCUUAACUGGGGAACUGCGUCUGAUACUGGAUGGCUUGAGUUUGGGAGAGGGAUGCGGAAUUCCCGGUGUAGCGGUGAAAUGCGCAGAUAUCGGGAAGAACACCCGUGGCUAAGGCGGCUCUCUAGUACGGUACUGACGCUGAGACGCGAAAGCGUGGGGAGCGAACAGG